rnacentral:rRNA from 1 species
GAUGAACGCUGGCGGCGUGCCUAAUACAUGCAAGUCGAGCGAACAGACGAGGAGCUUGCUCCUCUGACGUUAGCGGCGGACGGGUGAGUAACACGUGGAUACCCUACCUAUAUUACUGGGAUAAUUUCGGGAAACCGGAUCUAAUACCGGAUAAUAUAUUGAACCGCAUGGUUCAAUAGUAAAAGACGGUUUUGCUGUCUCUUAUAGAUGGAUCCGCGCCGCAUUAGCUAGUUGGUAAGGUCACGGCUUACCAAGGCAACGAUGCGUAGCCGACCUGAGAGGGUGAUCGGCCACACGGGAACUGAGACACGGUCCAGACUCCUACGGGAGGCAGCAGUAGGGAAUCUUCCGCAAUGGGCGAAAGCCUGACGGAGCAACGCCGCGUGAGUGAUGAAGGUCUUCGGAUCGUAAAACUCUGUUAUUAGGGAAGAACAAAUGUGGAAGUAACUAUGCACGUCUUGACGGUACCUAAUCAGAAAGCCACGGCUAACUACGUG